GUAUUUGAUUUAAAGCAGAUUUUAGUAACUGCGAAUCUAGUUAUUAUAUAUUGACCCUGUAAUAUACUGUCCUUGUUGACGGCGGUUCAGCCUUAUCAUUGACUCGCGUCAUGUGGAGACGUAAUAUGUUAGGUAUACUGGCCUGAUGUAGCUGACUGACUGAAACCGGUGAACCGACACCUUCUUAUUCAUACCAAUAUAAUACACUAGGAUGACGCAAGUCAGGUGAUUUCCCGUUUAAAGAUAACGGUGUUUGAGGUCGAGCGACAGCAGCGUCAAGCCAGCGGCGGUGGACGUUUCUCCGUCCGAAGCAGCACCGGGAGAGCAGGACCGGAGCCGCGAUCUAUAGCAGCGGGAGUUCCCUUUCUGAUGGAGGCGGUUAACGGACAGGAGACAGCAGCACCGAGAGCAUCGACCCGGGGAGACCACGGGAGAAUAAAGACGGUUCCGUUGUCCUGGGAAUAGAGGCUCAGACGGCGUCGUAAGGAAAGGUCACCAUCACCCCAAAGCCUCCUGCCUCUCCACUGUUAGCUCUGUGUGUGUCUUGGAGGGAAGGUUGUGUAGCCUCCUCUCCUCUCCUCUCCUCUCCUCCUCCUCUCCUCUCCUCUCCUCUCCUCUCCUCUCCUCUCCUCUCCUCUCUGUAUCACUCUCCUCUCCUCUCCUCUCCUCUCCUCUCCUCUCCCCCUCUCCUCUCCUCUCCUCUCCUCUCCAGGUGUGUGUAGCGUGUGUUUUGCAAGAAGAGUGUUCGGAGUGUGUAUUCCUUUGCGUGUGUGUGUAGUGUACCAUAAUGAGUACAGCAAGAGUGGAGCGACGGAGGCCAACCCCAGCACAGACCCCUGAGGAGAGAGAGGGAUGGGACCAGACAGGGAGAGAGGAGAGAGAGGGAUGGGGCCAGACAGGGAGAGAGGAGAGAGAGGGAUGGGGCCAGACAGGGAGAGAGGAGAGAGAGGGAUGGGGCCAGACAGGGAGAGAGGGAGAGAGAGGUAUGGGGCCAGACAGGGAGAGAGGAGAGAGAGGGAUGGGACCAGACAGGGAGAGGAGAGAGAGGGAUGGGGCCAGACAGGGAGAGAGGAGAGAGAGGGAUGGGGCCAGACAAGGAGAGAGGAGAGAGAGGGAUUGGGCCAGACAGUGAGAGAGGAGAGAGAGGGAUGGGGCCAGACAGGGAGAGAGGAGAGGGAGGGGGGAGAGGGGGGGGCAGGGAGGGCAGGAUGGAGGGAGGGCAGAGAAACCAGUGUAGUGCAGAGUUAUAGCUUCGACUCGUACCAGCUGGAGGAAGAGGAGGGGACCAAGGGAACGCCGGAGAGAGGAGUGCUGGCCCUGUCAGAGCCGGCCUUUGAGGAGCCAGUCCCUGACGACCGUUACCAUGGUAUCUACUUUGCGAUGCUAUUGGCUGGCGUGGGCUUCCUGCUUCCCUACAACAGCUUCAUCACCGACGUGGAUUACCUUCACCACAAGUUCCAGGGAUCCUUCAUAGUGUUUGAUAUGAGUCUGGUGUAUAUCGUGGUGGCUCUUGUCGCAGUCAUACUAAACAACAUCCUUGUGGAGAGAAUCAGUCUACACACACGAAUCACCGUGGGUUACCUGUUCGCUCUGAGUCCUCUGGUGUUCGUCAGCGUGUUUGAUGUGUGGUUGGAAUCCUUCACCACCAGACAGGCUUACAUCGUCAACCUCUUCUCUGUUGGGGUGGUCGCCUUCGGAUGUACAGGUACAGCAGGUGUAAUCAUCUCUCUGAGUCGUAUCUUCACUAAUCCUCUCC